GAUUUCAAUUGAAAAAGUCAUCAACAACAAAGUUGAAUAACUCAUCAAGAUCUAAAACUUUUACUUUUGUUAUUUCUUCAUCCGACGAAAUGUUAGUAAUAUUAUUCACAAAUUUUACAUAUAUGUGUUAUAGUUUAUAAAACCAGAUAAGAGAUAUGUCAAUUUUGUGAACAAUGUUACUAUCACUUUGUCGUAUGAAGAAAUGACCAAAAUAAAAGUUUUAGAUCUUGAUGAGUUAUUCAACUUUAUUGUUGAUGACUUUUUCAGUUGAUAUC
rnacentral:pre_miRNA from 1 species